GGAGCCCAGCUGGCUUCACCCAGUGGAUCCCACACCAGGGCUGCAGGUGGAGCUGCCUGCCAGUCCCGCGCCGUGUGCUUGCACUCCUCAGCCCUUGGGUGGUCGAUCCGACUGGGCGCCGUGGAGCAGGGGGUGGCACUCGUCGAGGAGGCUCCGGCAGCACAGGAGCCCAUGGAAGGAGUGGGAGGCUCAGGCAUGGCGGCCUGCAGGUCCCGAGCCCUGCCCCGCGGGAAGGCAGCUAAGGCCCGGUGAGAAAUCGAGCGCAGCGCCGGUGGGCUGGCACUGCUGGGGUACCCAGUACACCCUCCGCAGCCGCUGGCCCGGGUGCUAAGUUACUCAUUGCCCGGGGCCGGUAGGGCCGGCCGGCUG
rnacentral:lncRNA from 1 species